GGAACUUUCCAAAAAGGCAGUGCUUUUUUUUUAAAUUACUUUUUAAAUUAUUUUUUCCCCCUUUUCUUUUUUCCCUCCUAAUGACAGAAGCUGCAUUGGAGAAGUGGCCUGGCCAAAACACCAAGGACUUGUUCAUAGCCUAAAAAAGGGAGAGGAGGAAUCUGGUUUUGGAGGUGUCACUCUUUGUGGAAAACAGACUUAGAUAACUGGAGCUUUCAAGCUGUUCCCCCCCUGAAAGGAGGAAUUGUUAUUUGAGCAACACCUAGAGUCGUCAGUCUCCUGUGGGUGAAAAACGAUAAACAGACUCUCAAGGGAUGCAUCUUGGUGGAGCUAGAAAGGUGCACUUUCCAUAUUUUCAAUCUCCGAGUGAAUUGCUCUGAUAUCAGGGUUUGGUGGAUCUUGGGAAGAGUACG
rnacentral:lncRNA from 1 species